GGGGUUGUGGCUCAAUGGAAGAGUGCUUGCCUAGCAGGCAUGAGGCACUGAGUUUGAUCCUCAGCACCA
rnacentral:tRNA from 1 species